AUCUCUCGCUCGGGUGAAAUCUCUCCUGGAAGAUUUCAAGGUGUGUGCAGAGUUCUGAAGAAUAAAAGUCAACAGUCAAGUUCUUCUCCAUAUUCUCCAAAUCUGACGGAGGCGUUCCAUCAGGAAAGGGGGAAUGGUUGGUCGAUGCCUCCAGAAUAAUGAUACCCAUGACCCAGGCACAACAUGCUGACAGGGAAUCGGCUAUGGCAGAAAGCAUCCAUGCCAUCUACGUGAUCCGCCAUGAAGGUUCAGAAGCUACUGACAGUCCUGAGGACAUCGGAAUCAUUUUCAAAGGGGUAACUGCAUUUGGCUGCUUGCCAAACAUCCUACCCAGGCUCCGCCCUCGCAGUGACGCAACACCUUCGGCUCUGCUACACACACUCAGGAAAACUUUGUUCAGGUACUUUCGGGUUCCCUCCACAGCAGGAAACUCCACCCACUUUGUCGGGAAGCAAUCGACUUUCAGCAUCACCAACCGUCCUGGCUAGAGGCGUGUUCAAGGAAGUGACAAGGUUUGAGCAGAGACGCUCUAUUGGGACUAAGAAAAUGUUUGGUUUAAACUUUGGCUCAGCCUGUUCGGCCCUCGACCAGUAGCAAAUCAUGAGAGUUGGGUCAACCAUGCCGUUUGAGAAUGUUGUUAUGCUCUUGGUCAGACCAAGUCUCGAAGAGAUUUGUAAGUCAUGAUAAUCAGGUUACAAAUAUUCACUUACAGUGGCCAUAUUUCUUGCCCUUGUUUACGCACUAAACUUGUUAUCCUCCUUGAAAGUUGUGUGUGUGUGUGUGAGUAAUAAUGCAGACAUAAUAAUAACAAUUGACUAGAAGUACAAAUACACAUUUCUACAUUAUUGCUCACACACAGCUUUUGGUAAAACAUUACUGAAAUGGCCAAACACCUUUAUGCAUUUUUUAAUAAAGAGUCAUUGCAUUGAGCAGAUCAUUGAGAGGCUCUGAAGUCCACUACACUAUUCUUAACUUGUGUGCGUGCGUACCUCCUCAAGCACAUAUACAGCACUCUAUUUUUAACAUUUUUUAAAAAUGUUUUUCUUUUUUUUGACUUAACAACCUGUUAAAAACACAGCGUUAAACUUUGGCUUUUUUCGCACACCUCAGCUGGCAGGUGCGUCGGA